rnacentral:tRNA from 1 species
GCCUGGCUGGCUCAGGGAGUAGAGCAUGUGAUUCCUGAUCUCAGGGUCGUGAGUUCAAGCCCCACAUUGGGCA